AUUUAUAGGCCCAUGGAUGGGCCACCAGAAAAAAAAAUUAGGGCAAAUCAUUUCAGCCUCCCCAAUCGCCUCCGUCUGUCUCGUUCUCAUCUCUGAACUUACCCAACCCCCCCUCUCUGUGCAACUGCAAACCACAAAAUCUACAAGAAUCAGAAGUUCAAAACCCAUAUAUUUCAGUUUAUCUAUCUGUCUGCAAAAAUCAAAAGUUCAAAACCUAUUACCUAUAUCAAAACCCAGUUCAAAACCCACAUAUCGGCAUAUCAUUUCAGAUUGUUCAAAAAAAUCAAAACCCAUAUCUUUCAGUUUCCAUCGCCCGCUGUUCCAGUUCGGGUUCGCCGUUCGCAAGGUUCAGCCGCUGUCUCUCAACUCUCAAGCUUGCCCCCCUCUCUCUCUGCAACGGCUAACUUGUAUGAAUCAAGCUGAUACAAAAAUGCCAAGGGUAAUUCCCAUACUACGCAAACAACUUAAUUGUCAAUUUUGCAGUCCCAUUUUUUCAUCACUGUUGGAGGCAUAUUAAAUUCUACUUCCUCAAACACAGGCCACAUAACACGCAUGUCCCAACACUUCCUCAUCAAUUUGUAGCAUCCAUUGGCAUCCCGAAAGAGGAGAUCGUUUUUAACAAAAAACCCAGAAAUUUAUGAUUCAAAUCAACCAAAACCAAAGGGGAGAAGAAAACAGUUUUAAGAAAAAAAGAAAAAGAAAAAGAAAAAUGAGAGCACCAAUUACCCACUUCAAUUUUUCAUGCGAGUUACACUGUGGAAGUCGCUUGGUCAUAGUCUCCCAAAAAAGGGAGAGACAACUACCCCAACCCCUUUUAUUUGCAAUAGCCUCCAACAAAGAUUUCUUACGUUUGACUGCACCCGCCGUAAAGCCUACUAAGCCUCUUAACUCUAGAAGGUCUUUUUGAACACUUUCUACAAGUCCUAUUUUGUCAAAAGAUUAAACAAAGUGGCAAUGUUAACAUGAAAUUUAGACGAAUCUCAUAAAAAGAAGUCAGCUCGAAUUCACCAGGCCAGAAUAAUUUGACCAUUUUGUUUUGCAUCACUAUAAGAACAGAUUUCCAUGAAAGCUAUCAUUUUGAAUGAAAUCGUCCAAUCCUUUUAUAAUUCCCUUGAAUGCACUCAAAAAGUCUUUUUCUGGACGAAUCAUGAUGCCACUGUCAAUAUGCCAAAUUGGGUUCAUUAUCCCAAACCCAACGAAUAAAACCUGCUCUCAAGCGGUCCAAGACUAGUGUUGUUACCCCAUCUUCGAAUUUAUGGUACUUGAUCUUUGCAAUAUUUGAAUUGUCGUGGCAACUUAUUUUUUCCACUACUUUUUCGGUUGUCAGCUUAUCAUGUUGUGCGUAGCUAGUAACUGAUAUCUUCACAGGUUUUCCUAUGUGGGCAAAAUUGCCGAUUCAAUUUUAAUAGCACUCAUAAUCUUCUAGUGUUUCUUCUACUUCCCACCACACACUUCCACUGCUGCACUGCAAAAGACAAUACAGAACAUAGAUAGUAAAUUUUAGCACUUUCCAUGAAUCAGCAACCAAGAAAGAAAAUAAUAAAUCAAUCUUUUAGCCUAAUGGAAAGAAAGUUCUAGAAGAGGUUUUGGUGGGGGAUGCGUCUCAAUUCGUCUGCAAUCUAUACAGAAUAGCAAAGUUCGUUGGAUCAUUUAUCUCUUUCUCUCUAUCUGGGUUUGGUUGUGGUGGACUUUCAACAUACAAUCGGCAGCUUCUCUUUUCGAAUCAAGUUGAUACAAAAAUGCCAAGGGCAGUAGAAGUGCGUAGUGGGAGGGUUAUGAGUUAUGAAAAUGGAAUUAGCAAUUUUACUCACAUAGGAGAACCUGUGAAGAUAUCAGUUACUAGCUACGUAGAACAUGAUAAGCUGACAGCCAAAAAAGUAGUGAAAAAAAUAAGUUGCCACGACAAUCCGAAUAUUGCAAAGAUCAAUGUCAUAAAUUCGAAGAGGGGUAACAACACUAGUCUUGGAUCGCUUAGGAGCAGGUUUUAUUCGUUGGGUUUGGGAUAAUGAACCGUGGCUCUCUGGCAUAUUGACAGUGGCAUCAUGAUUCGUCCAGAAAGAGACUUUUUGGGUGUGUUCAAGGGAAUUAUAAAAGGAUUAGACGAUUUCAUUCAAAAUGAUAACUUUCAUGGAAAUUUGUUCCAUGGUGUUACGGUGAUGGAAAACAAGAUGGUCAAACUAUUCUGGCCUGGUGAAUUUGAGCUGGGACUUGUAGAAGGUGUUCGAAAAGACUUCUAGAGUUAAGAGGCUUAGUAGGCUUUGGUGCAGUCAAACGUAAGAAAUUUUUGUUGGCGGCUAUUGCAUAUAAAAGUGGUUGGGGUCGUUGUCUCUCCCUUUUUUGGGAGACAAUGACCGAGAGACUUCCACAGUGUAACUCGCUCAAAAAGUUGAAGUGGGUAAUUGGUGAUCUCAUUUUUCUUUUUCUUUUCUUUUCUUUUUUUUUUUUUCUCUCUUUUUUUUUUUUUUUAUCCUUAGAAUUAUUUUCUUAUGGUAUUGGUUGAUUUGAAUCAGAAAUUUCUGGGUUUUUUUUUUUUGUUAAAAACGAUCCCCUCUUUCGGAAUGCCAAUGGAUGCUACAAAUUGAUGAAGAAGUGUUGGGACAUGCGCGUCAUGUGGCCUGUGUUGGAGGAAGUAGAAUUUAAUAUGCCUCCAACAGUGAUGAAAAAAUGGGACUGCAAAAUUGACAAUUCAAGUUGUUUGCGUAUUAUUUUUUGGAUUGGAGAUACAGAAAAUGCGCCCGGACAGUCAAGCUUUAAGUUUAACACGGAUUCUCAGGAACACGGGAAAGAGAUGUCGUAUCCACAAAGCUACACACUGAAGUAUGGAAAGAAUUGCUCUUACGCCAAGUUUGAUGAUGCCUCCUCUCUCUCUCUAUACACGCAGACUUUCCACAGACUAGUAUUUCAUAUUCGGUACAAAUGGAUUGUGAUAGCUAAAUCAAUAGUGUUACUACUUUUAAGUAUCUCUCCUUGUUUUGAAUGGUUGAAAUUUACUACUAGCAAUACUUUAGUGUGGAGAUCCUGUACGUAAACCUGAUCCAGGAGUUGGCUUGUCAUUUUUUUUUUAUUGCAGAUUUGUGAUCAAUGAGUUGGCUUCUUUGCUUUAAUUUGUUACAUCAUGAAAUGGUUUAAAUUUU